CCUACGGGUGGCUGCAGUGGGGAAUAUUGGAUAAUGGGGGGAACCCUGAUCCAGCCAUGCCGCGUGUGUGAAGAAGGCCCUCGGGUUGUAAAGCACUUUCAGUGAGGAAGAACGCCUGGUGGUUAAUACCCAUCAGGAAAGACAUCACUCACAGAAGAAGCACCGGCUAACUCCGUGCCAGCAGCCGCGGUAAUACGGAGGGUGCGAGCGUUAAUCGGAAUUACUGGGCGUAAAGCGCGCGUAGGUGGCUUGAUAAGCCGGUUGUGAAAGCCCCGGGCUCAACCUGGGAACGGCAUCCGGAACUGUCAAGCUAGAGUGCAGGAGAGGAAGGUAGAAUUCCCGGUGUAGCGGUGAAAUGCGUAGAGAUCGGGAGGAAUACCAGUGGCGAAGGCGGCCUUCUGGACUGACACUGACACUGAGGUGCGAAAGCGUGGGUAGCAAACAGGAUUAGAUACCCGAGUAGUC
rnacentral:rRNA from 1 species